rnacentral:rRNA from 1 species
CGGGAUGAGCUCAAAUUUAAAAUCUGGCGGUCUCAGAUCGUCCGAGUUGUAGUCUAGAGAAGCGUUUUCCGUGCUGGCCUGUGUACAAGUCCGUUGGAACACGGCGUCAUAGAGGGUGAGAAUCCCGUCCAUGAC